GAAGAUCAGCGGCGGACGGGUGAGUAACACGUGGGCAACCUGCCUGUAAGACUGGGAUAACUUCGGGAAACCGGAGCUAAUACCGGAUAAUCCUUUCCCUCACAUGAGGGAAAGCUGAAAGACGGUUUCGGCUGUCACUUACAGAUGGGCCCGCGGCGCAUUAGCUAGUUGGUGAGGUAACGGCUCACCAAGGCAACGAUGCGUAGCCGACCUGAGAGGGUGAUCGGCCACACUGGGACUGAGACACGGCCCAGACUCCUACGGGAGGCAGCAGUAGGGAAUCUUCCGCAAUGGACGAAAGUCUGACGGAGCAACGCCGCGUGAGCGAUGAAGGCCUUCGGGUCGUAAAGCUCUGUUGUCAGGGAAGAACAAAUACCGGAGUAACUGCCGGUACCUUGACGGUACCGGGACAGAAAACCCCCGCGGGAUACCAGCCGGCAGCCGCGAUAAUACAUGAGUGUCCCGGU
rnacentral:rRNA from 2 species